rnacentral:rRNA from 1 species
UACGUAGGGUGCGAGCGUUAAUCGGAAUUACUGGGCGUAAAGCGUGCGCAGGCGGCGCGUUAAGACAGGUGUGAAAGCCCCCGAGCUUAACUUGGGAAUUGCGCUUGUGACUGGCGUGCGUGGAGUGUGGCAGAGGGAGGUGGAAUUCACGUGUAGCAGUGAAAUGCGUAGAGAUGUGGAGAACACCGAUGGCGAAGGCAGCCUCCUGGGCCAGCACUGACG